UCCAGUAUAAAUGUGUCUUGCUAUAGCCCUCUGAUAUUUUGAUAAAAUAACUUUUCUCAAAUCUACUGGCAUUGCCAGUAACCAGAUGAGAAUUUCAACCAUUGAAUCCUGCAGCGCAGCACCAGGUCUGCACUUGUUUCACUUUCAUUGUGUGGGCAAGGGAGGUGCAACGGGACCUCAAAACUCAUCCUGCGGUCAUACUUGCUAUCUCUCAAGAUAGAUUCACUUAAGGUCAACUUCAUUUACUGCUGAUAUUUUUGGCUUUAUGCUUUUCUUUUAUGAGUCACUCUCUGAAAUAAGGAGCCAAAAAAUGUUCUCCCUUGGACCUGUUCUGGAUGGAGAAUCCUUUUGCCACCACUCUGAAGGAUAACUGUUCUGCUGGUGAGAACAGCCUUACCCACAGGGGUAAGCCAGAAUAUCCUCUUUGCUGUCUUGAAGAAGCUGUGGGGAGAGCAGAAGAACUCCUUCCCUGAUCUGCUCCUGGAUUCCCUAAAACUAUAUACAGCCCUUCAGUACAGGUCUGUCCCAAGGUACAGUCUGCUGCUGUCUGACAGGCUUCUCCUAUCAAGAAGUCAAGCAUUGCUCUGGAAAACAGACUUGUCUUUGUGCGGUUUCUCAUAGGAAGAUACAAGCUGUCACGAUCCCUUGCCAAUCACAUGAGAACUGACCUAGGGAGAACAUCAACU